CAAUAGCGUAUAUUAAAGCUGUUGCGGUUAAAAAGCUCGUAGUUGGACUUCUGCUGAGGACGACUGGUCUGCCCUCUGGGUGAGUAUCUGGUUCGGCCGAAGCAUCUUCUUGGAGGUUGCAAGCGCACUUCAUUGUGUGGUGCAACCGACUGGAAUUUUACUUUGAGGAAAUUAGAGUGUUCAAGGGAGGCGUACGCCUCGCAUAGGUUAGCAUGGAAUAAUGCUGUAAGACCAUGGUAUUGCUGUGUUGGUUUCUAUCACCUAAGGUAAUGAUAAACAGGGAUAGUUGGGGGCGAUUCGUAUUUAACUUGUCAGAGGUGGAAAUUACUUGGUAUUUGUUUAAAGUAACGGACUACUUGCGAAAGACAUUUGUCCAAGGAAUGUUUUCUAUUGUAUCAAGAACGAAAGUUAAGGGUAGUCGAAGACGAUCAGAUACCAU
rnacentral:rRNA from 1 species